CAGCCCCUUUCCCAGCCCCUUCCCUGCCGUGCUCAUGGCAGGCUGUGUUUGUGCUCUGUCCUGCCAGGGCAAACCCUGCUCAGCUCAGGGCUGGCAUGGGCAGAGGUUCUCCUGGAGCCUGGCUGUGGGGAUGCACAUGGACAUGGAGGAGACAGGGCCUGGCAUGAUGCAGGAGGAGGAGGAGAAGGCUCCCAGCCUCUCCUCAGUGCUCCUGAGCCAGACCACGUUGCUGGAGCAGCAUCCGUGCAAGGAGCGAUGUUCCCCUGCCAUCCCCAGUGCCACCAGGUUGUCCCUGAGCACUCCAGAGUGGGUAAUUUUAUCCCAAAUGUGCCUGUCUAAAAAUAUCUCACUUCUGUGUUUUUUGACCAUAUGCCCAGGACCAUGAAAAUUUUUCCGUAGGAAAAAAAGCUGAAAAAAACCCUUAAACCCAUAACAUCUUGGAAUGAUUUGACCACUUUCUUCUCAGGACAUUCCCUCCUUUUUUAUGCCAUGAUGGGGUUUCUCCUGAAUUUAAAACAUCAAUUUGGCCUAACAUGAGGAGAGUGUUCAUUCUUCCAAACCAUAAAGAUCAGAGACUAUAAACUGUUGUUCCUUAAAUGUUUCAUGGCAAAAGGCAUUCAAAGCGUAACAUUAACACAAAGUUUUCCUGUAAAACAAUCUGGGAAGUGUAAUCUCUGUAAGAGGUUUUUUAUGCACCAUGGCUAAUUGUUCCUGACAGUAUGAUUUUACAUCAGGCAUUUUUUGUAAAUUCAACACCAUUCGAACUUUAUGGCAGGUAAUAUUCCUUACAACUCCUCAAAUCCUGCCCAUGUCUAAAUUAUUGUUGCAGAGUGAUGUCUGGGGGGCUUUUUUUUUUUUUUUUUUUUUUUAGCUGCCAAAUAUUGGGAGCAAAUUCUCUCUUGUCUCGCAGUUGUGGCAUUGGGAACAACUUUAUGGAAUUCUUCCACUCCUCUCUGUGGUGUCAGAAGGAGUUUUCACACCUUUAGCACACAUCAAAGUGCAAAGGGUUUGUGCCUGGGGGCACAGCAGGAUUGUGGUCACCUCUGGAUGGAGGAGGAUGGAGAUGUUCCCAGCCUGGGAUGCUGAGUCUGUGACUCAUUAAAAUUCAGAUUCUAAAGCUGUUUGAAGUGUCAGGGUUUUACAGAGCCUGGCUCGAGGGUUUUACCUCACCUGGUGUUCACCUGAGGGUGAGCAGGAGCCAGGUGCUGCCAUUCCACAGAACCGUGGAACGUUUGGGGUCACAAAGAACCUUAGAGACCAACUCUACCAUGGGCAGGACACCUUCCACUAGGGCUCCAAGCCCUGUCCAGUGUGGCUUUGGACACUGCUGAUGCCUCUCCAAGCAGUGUUGUGCCAUUUUCCCCAAAACUUUUUCCUCUCAUCCACACCUUUGAGUGACAUUUCCACAUCCACUGGGCCUUUGGUCCAGCCUGCUUUGCCAAGCUGACUGACCUGUGCAUGAGUCUGAUCCAUGUGCACACACAUGAAAAAACUCCUUUUGACCAACUCAUUCUACCUUAUAAAAUAUGGGUUAUAAAAUGUUUAUGGGGCCUGUUCCUGCGAGGGGCUCAUUCCAAAGCGCACUACGCAAAACCCCGCUCUUUUAUGGCAUGGCAGAAAAGGGGCUCAGUCUGUGCCCCCCCCAGCAUCCAGAGAUGGGACUGGCCUUCCAAAUGGACCACACAGCCUUGCCAGGGUUGCUCCCAGGGCAGCAAGUGAAUUUGUGCCUGGGGUUAAUUGACAAGUGAGGAAACACUGGUUCUUUCUGCUGGAAAUUCCCCGUCGCCCCAGCCAUGAGGAGCUCCACAAGAAAAGUCAAAAAGGAGGUCCUCCCAGGUGGCUUCACCCAGCUCGGGUCACUCAGAGGAGGGAAGGAAGCUCCAGAGGAUUGGGAGGAGCACGUGGACUCAUCUCCUCCUCAAAAAGGGAAUUUAACUCCUGGCACUUCCUGUACCUGAGGGCAAUAAUAAAUGUCCAGAGUGUGACAUUUAUGAAAAUUAGAAAGUAAAUCAGAUUCAAUGCUGUGAACAUAUAAAACACUUCACCUGGAGGCUCAGACCGAAUCAAAAUAGCUUUCAGUCCACCCAUCCCCUAAACACUUGAACUGGAGUUCCAUCUCCCACCCUGCUCUUUGUUCUCCCUGAAACUCCCCCACCUCCUGCCCUUUGAUCCUACCCAGAGAUGACCUUGACCUGCUGGAGAGACCCUGCUGCCCUCCCUGCUUUCAAGUUUUCCCUCAGACAUUGAACUCCACUCCUGGUUUGGAGAUCUAACAAGGAGCUGUUUCUGCAGGUGCAGCUGCUUCCAAAACGCCACUGAUUGAUUCUGGAAUAAUUUAUUGAAUUAAAUUUUAUUUCAUUCACAGUAUUA